UCUCUGAUUGGUCCACCAAAAGGAGGGGCUAGCUCCCAAGAGCGCUGCCCAGAACAGCUAUCAUUUCACUACCAACAGUCGAUGGGAUAGGAUGUUUCGCUCUGCAUGUGAUCAGUAACACAAACACUCUAUUCUUUAAUAACAGAUCUCCUUACUGAAUCACAUCCAAUAACCUUACCCAAAUGUCUCUCGCUCUAAUCUUUCAGUGUAUCACAUUUUCUAUUCUUUUAUAGCAUACCUUUACCAGCCUCUCUUUUCUUUAAUAACCUGCCCUUUAACAACAGCUCUCUUUACUCAAUUAUCUUUUUUCAGUAAACCUGACCCAAACUUUCCUUUUCAUCAACCCUAAACUUCUCUCACUCUAGUCUUUCAACCUUUUUCUCUCAAUGUCUCACAUUUUCUAUUCUUUUAUAGCAUACCAUCAUCUCUCUUUUCUUUAAUAACCUGCCCUUUAACAACAGGUCUCCUUACACAAUCACCUUUUUUCAAUAAACCUGACCCAAACUUUAAACUGCUCUCAGUGUAUCCAAACACAGCACUUCCCCCAUUCAAACGAGCACAAAAAUUUUUUUCAAAAUGGCCGACGGCGCCAAACUUCGGCGCCAACGGAAAUGGGGUAGGAGGAUGGGACAAAAGACCCAAAUGGGGUGUGGAAACAUGUCAAAAAUGCAUGGUGAUGAAAGCUAUUGAGGAAAAUACUACUGACAGGAAAUGGGAUUAGACUGCAACAACAGCCCAUCUCAACUAACUUCUCUUUCCCGUGAAAAGGCCAGUUAUUACCAUCUUUAAUGCCACCUCAGGUAUUAAAACAGAUUUGAUUCCCCCUCAGUCCAGGAGGGUUAAUGGAGACUGCAGGUGAAGAUGAAGCAAAUAACCCACACGCACACACCUGUGAGAUACUGGCUGAACCGGAGCUUAGCUCUGUGGCUGGCAGCCACCUGAGGAGAUGCUCACUGAAAGUCAGCUCCUAAUGGACAAGAGCCCAGACCACAAAACCACCAGAAGAGCCAGUACUAAUUGACACCAAUGUUGGCCAGCUCAGCAGAAAGGCCUAGUUGCAAAUGAACUAUGGAGUUCCAACUAUCUAUCCACUUGUAUCA